GAGUUUGAGGGCCCAUGGGAGCCAUCGUUGGAUCCCCUCACAGUGCAGGUAAUUGUUUGGGUAUAUUUGUUUCAGUAUUAGUAUACAUACUCUUCUUGGGACUGGUUCUGUUACUCGGGCCGUUGGGCGUAAUAGUUAACAGCUGCUUAAUAUCUCGACUUAAGCCACGACUCGGAUUGCGACCGAAGGAUAUGACGCUACAUAUUCUGGUCGUAUGUUAAGUCGUGUGGUAAGGCAUUCUGGCAAUUGGUUUCUUGGCCAACAACUCGUAGAAAAGAGGGAAACAACCGCACCGCCAUGUUUCUUGCCCAUUUCCUCCACCGAGGUCCCCUCCCGUCUCCUCCUCGCCGCCUCCCUCUCCUCUUCGUCUCUUGUUCUUCCUCUCUUGCCGUAGCGGCAGCGAUCGAAGACCACGAAGACGUAGCGGCGGCAUCAGUGAAGAGGACGAGAAGGGCCUCAAGAACCUCGGAAACUCUUGCUACCUCAACAGCGUCACCGACACCCCGCCCCUCGCCCAGUUCUACCUCUCCUCUCGGCGCUCGUCUCUCUGAAAGUCGUCGUUCGAGAAUCGAGAGAAGGAGUGCGCCUUCUGCAUCCUCGAGCGGCAGAUCGCUCGAUCCCUCAGCCUUGAUGGGCCGCUCGACGCGCCGUCCAAGAUUCACAAGUGCCUCGCCGACUUCGCUGAGCACUUCCAGUGGCGCCGUCAGGAGGACACCCACGAGUUCCUCCGCUACGUUAUCGGCUCCUGCCACAACGCUUGCCUCAAGACCCACAAGCGAAGCAUCAGCGGUGGUAACCCUAAAGCGGAGGAGCGCUCAUGGUCCAGCACCGUGAUGAAGGAGAUCUUCGGGGGGGGCCCUGCUCAGCCAGGUGAAGUACCUCACGUGCAAGGAUGCCCUCGCUCGAUUCUUUCAGCCUCAAGUACAGCAACCAGCCGUAAGAAACUCUCUGUAGCCAGAAAGCAGAUGUUUAUACACGAGCACCCAAUGUGCUUGUCAUACAGCUCAAGAGAUUUGAAGGUACGAAUGGUGCAAAAAUUGACCGGAGAAUCGAAUUUAAUGGAGUUCCUGGGCUUUCAAAGUUCAUGUGUAAUAUGAAUAAGCUUGUUGGGAGGACAUCGGCACACAUCACACAACGUGAGUUGGAGGUGUCAGCAUAUGUUUUGAACUAAAUUUUGGCCCGUGACAUCAAGUAUACGAGGGUGUGUUGACCAGAACAUGCUGUGCCAGAAAGGUCUGAACGCUUUCUCGUACAAUGAAACCUACUUUUGGAAGUUGUUCUCUAUGGAAUGUUUUUUCGUUUCUUGGAAUGAUAUUUGUUAGUAGACAAGCAUGUAGAAUCACUUAUUGAUAUAUGAUAGAGUGUCAUUUCUUUA